GAUGAACGCUGGCGGCGUGCCUAAUACAUGCAAGUCGAGCGAACAGACGAGGAGCUUGCUCCUCUGACGUUAGCGGCGGACGGGUGAGUAACACGUGGAUAACCUACCUAUAAGACUGGGAUAACUUCGGGAAACCGGAGCUAAUACCGGAUAAUAUAUUGAACCGCAUGGUUCAAUAGUGAAAGACGGUUUUGCUGUCACUUAUAGAUGGAUCCGCGCCGCAUUAGCUAGUUGGUAAGGUAACGGCUUACCAAGGCGACGAUGCGUAGCCGACCUGAGAGGGUGAUCGGCCACACUGGAACGGAGACACGGUCCAGACUCCUAAGGGAGGCAGCAGUAGGGAAUCUUCCGCAAUGGGCGAAAGCCUGACGGAGCAACGCCGCGUGAGUGAUGAAGGGCUUCGGAUCGUAAAACUCUGUUAUUAGGGAAGAACAAAUGUGUAAGUAACUAUGCACGUCUUGACGGUACCUAAUCAGAAAGCCACGGCUAACUACGUG
rnacentral:rRNA from 1 species